rnacentral:rRNA from 1 species
CCUACGGGAGGCAGCAGUGAGGAAUAUUGGUCAAUGGGCGCGAGCCUGAACCAGCCAAGUCGCGUGAGGGAGGACGGCCCUACGGGUUGUAAACCUCUUUUGCCGGGGAGCAAUGGGGGCCACGUGUGGCGUCAGUGAGAGUACCCGGAGAAAAAGCAUCGGCUAACUCCGUGCCAGCAGCCGCGGUAAUACGGAGGAUGCGAGCGUUAUCCGGAUUUAUUGGGUUUAAAGGGUGCGUAGGCGGAUUGUGAAGUCAGCGGUAAAAUUGCGGGGCUCAACCCCGUCCUGCCAUUGAAACUGGCGUUCUUGAGUGGAAGAGAAGUAUGCGGAAUGCGUGGUGUAGCGGUGAAAUGCAUAGAUAUCACGCAGAACCCCGAUUGCGAAGGCAGCAUGCCGGCUUCCGACUGACGCUGAAGCACGAAAGCGUGGGGAUCGAACAGGAUUAGAUACCCCUGUAGUC